GGCCUUUUGAAAAUAAUUUAAGGUCAGGCCUGCCCACUGAGUUUUUAAAGGGCCGCGGUAUUUUGACCGUGCUAAGGUAGCAUAAUCAUUAGUUUUUUAAUUGAAAGCUGGUAUGAAAGGUUUGAUGAGAAAAUAACUGUCUCUGUAAAAAUUUAUAUGAAUUUUAUUUUUAAGUUAAAAAGCUUAAAUUUGAUUGGAAGACGAGAAGACCCUAUAGAGUUUGAUAAAAAUUAAAUAUGAUUUUUUUAGGAUUUUUAAGAUUUUGGAUAAUUUUUAUUUAGUUGGGGUGAUUAAAAAAUUGAAGUAACUUUUUUAUUAUAAAACCAUUAAUUUAUGAAUUUAUGAUCCAAUUUUAUUGAUUAUUAGAUUAAAUUACCUUAGGGAUAACAGCGUAAUUUUUUUUUAGAGUUCAAAUCGAAAGAAAAGAUUGCGACCUCGAUGUUGGAUUAAAAUUUAUUUUUGGUGUAGAAGCUAAGAAAUUAGGUCUGUUCGACCUUUAAAAUUUUACAUGA
rnacentral:rRNA from 1 species